rnacentral:tRNA from 1 species
GGGGAGAUGGCUCAGUGGUUAAGAGCACUGACUGCAAUUCAGGAGGUCCUGAGUUCAAAUCCCAGCAACCACA